UUACGGACAUAUCACGUUGAAACACCGGUUCUCCUACAAAGAAAGAAGUUAAGCCCCGCUGAGCCUGGUAAGUAUAUAGAUGGGCGACUUCUUGGGAAUAUCAGAUGCUGAAA